GAGGGCCUAUCUGGAUACCCUUGAAUUAUUUGAUUGUUUCUUCUCUUCAUCACUACUCUCAAGAGCCUGGACCAUACAGAGAAAGAGCCAAAACCGUCUACAAUGAAUUGAGGAGCAACUGUGCUAUUGAUCAUGGCGGAAGCUUACCAUGAAGUUUAGUAUCACCCUAAUGUAGCAAAAGCAAUCAUUUUUGACAUAUUGAAUUCAGAC